AAUGAACGUUGGCGGCGUGGAUUAGGCAUGCAAGUCGAGCGUGAUCGGUUCCCUCACCUUGCUUUCUCAUGGGAGAAGGCGCGGUGAGGGGACCGUGAAAGCGGCGAAAGGGAGAGUAACGCGUAGUUACGUACCCCGGGGUCCGGAAUAGCCACGGGAAACUGUGGGUAAUGCCGGAUAACAUCUUCGGAUCAAAGGUGUGAUUCCGCCCUGGGAGCGGACUGCGUUGUACUAGCUUGUUGGUAGGGUAAUGGCCUACCAAGGCUAUGAUGCAUAGCGGGUGUGAGAGCAUGACCCGUCUCACUGGGACUGAGACACUGCCCAGACACCUACGGGAGGCAG
rnacentral:rRNA from 1 species